rnacentral:lncRNA from 14 species
CUCGGCUCUUUCCGCCUCUGCUCGGCGCUCUCCGCCUCUCUUCGGCUCCUGUGGGAGUCUGGCACCCCGUCUGAGAUGCGGUUCCGGGUCCUGGCCGCACUCCCUUCCGAGAAGCGGCCACUCCCGGUGUGGUUUCCAGGGACCGAGGUGUUGACGGUGUCUGUACAGAGGAGCUGGAGACAGGACCAGCACUGUGGUGUGUUGACUCUGCAGUGAGGAGGAACAAGGCCUGGCGAAGUCUGGAAGAGAGAGAGAUCCUUUGGAGGAGUCUGAGCAACGGUUUGUGUCAUAAGGACAUUUUCAGGAGGGCCCUUCCCGUUCAGCACAACUGAAAAUCUCACCCAUUUCUGACUUAGUGUUUGGAUUUUCCCUUUUCUUUAUGUAAUUAAAAUUUAUCUGUUUUGAGCCUUAGACUGGUGACGCCUGCUGUUGAAUGAAAGCUGGGGAGACAAGGCCAAUAGCACUGCAGCAUCAUGAUCAUUCUGAGAUGAAGAAACGGGCCUGUCUUGUUUCUAGUUGAUCAGUUCUCAGCUGAUAGCAGAAAUACCAUUAGUAGGGUUGUCCUCUGGGUUCUAGUCUUCAGGGUCAUCUGAUUGUUUCUUAAUGGAGUACUUCAAUUUGCCUGUGUUGAUAACACCUCCUAAUUUAGUCUCAUUUGAAAGUUUCACUGACUGCCUCCUGUGGUAAACAUCAUAAUUUAAAAAUACUAAGUAGAAUCGGUCCUAAUACCAGUCACUCAAGCUUGUACUUUUAAACCAAUAUAAUCUUUUUAAUUUUGUCAUUUGUUUAUUUUCCUGUGUUAUUUUUCCUUGUGAUGCUUUGGGUACUUAACUGGAAUUAGAGUAGAAUGGGAUUUAACUCUUGGGUUGAUUCUUUUUUUGUUUGGGAUUUUUUGGGGGGUUUCUUUUUUUUUCUAAUAGUACAGAAAUUUAAGCACUUGUUUUGAGAUCAUUUUGCUCCACAACUUUUUAGGCUUUUUCAGAAAAAAUAUAAUACACCAUUGUGCUCUUUCUGGUAUCAGAAUGUCAACUUUAACUCUCUUUUGAAAGAGGAAUUGGGAAAGAUUACUGUUAAAACUCAUUUUGUUCAACGUUUGCAGUUUCCUCUUUUUCUCUUUUUUCUGAUGGUAAAGUAUAUUGUCUGUAUAAUGAAAGUGGCCUUCACAAUCACUUCUUUUAUUACAGAAGUGACUUGAAUGACAGGAUCUAGUGUUUGA